rnacentral:rRNA from 1 species
CCUACGGGAGGCAGCAGUGAGGAAUAUUGGUCAAUGGGCGCGAGCCUGAACCAGCCAAGUCGCGUGAGGGAUGACUGCCCUACGGUUUGUAAACUUCUUUUGUAAGGGAAUACAGUGAGGCACGUGUGCCUUUUUGUAUGUACUUUAUGAAUAAAGAUCGGCUAACUCAGUGCCAGCAGCCGCGGUAAUACGGAGGGUCCGAGCGUUAUCCGGAUGUACUGGGUUUAAAGGGAGCGUAGAGGGGUUGUUAAGUCAGUUGUGAAAGCUCGGGGCUCAACCGGAAAAUUGCAAUUGAUACUGGCAGCCUUGAGUAUAGGAGAGGGAGGUGGAAUUCGUGGUGUAGCGGUGAAAUGCGUAGAUAUCACGAAGAACUCCGAUUGCGAAGGCAGCUUACUAAACCGACACUGACAUUGAUGCGCGAAAGUGUGGGUAUCAAACAGGAUUAGAUACCCCUGUAGUC